ACGGUCCUAAGGUAGCGAAAUUCCUUGUCGGGUAAGUUCCGACCUGCACGAAUGGCAUAAUGAUGGCCAGGCUGUCUCCACCCGAGACUCAGUGAAAUUGAAAUCGCCGUGAAGAUGCGGUGUACCCGCGGCUAGACGGAAAGACCCCGUGAACCUUUACUAUAGCUUGACACUGAACAUUGAAUUUUGAUGUGUAGGAUAGGUGGGAGACUUAGAAGUAGUCACGCCAGUGAUUAUGGAGUCGUCCUUGAAAUACCACCCUUUAACGUUUGAUGUUCUAACGAAGAUUACGAAACGUGGUCUCGGACAGUGUCUGGUGGGUAGUUUGACUGGGGCGGUCUCCUCCCAAAGAGUAACGGAGGAGCACGAAGGUUUGCUAAUGACGGUCGGACAUCGUCAGGUUAGUGCAAUGGUAUAAGCAAGCUUAACUGCGAGACAGACAAGUCGAGCAGGUACGAAAGUAGGUCAUAGUGAUCCGGUGGUUCUGAAUGGAAGGGCCAUCGCUCAACGGAUAAAAGGUACUCCGGGGAUAACAGGCUGAUACCGCCCAAGAGUUCAUAUCGACGGCGGUGUUUGGCACCUCGAUGUCGGCUCAUCUCAUCCUGGGGCUGUAGCCGGUCCCAAGGGUAUGGCUGUUCGCCAUUUAAAGAGGUACGUGAGCUGGGUUUAAAACGUCGUGAGACAGUUUGGUCCCUAUCUGCUGUGGGCGUUGGAGAUUUGACGGGGGCUGCUCCUAGUACGAGAGGACCGGAGUGGACACACCUCUGGUGUACCUGUUGUCACGCCAGUGGCAUCGCAGGGUAGCUAAGUGUGGAAGAGAUAACCGCUGAAAGCAUCUAAGCGGGAAACUUGCCUGAAGAUGAGAUCUCCCUGGGGACUCGAUCCCCCUGAAGGGUCGUCCAAGACCAGGACGUUGAUAGGCCGGGUGUGGAAGCGCAGUAAUGCGUGCAGCUAACCGGUACUAAUUGCCCGUGAGGCUUGACCCU
rnacentral:rRNA from 1 species